rnacentral:sRNA from 1 species
UGACCAAGUCACAGAACCCGGCCAUGGCCUC